AAAAAUCAAUGAAAGAAUAUUUUAAACAUGAAGCUGCAAAUUCUGGGAAAAUAACCUUGGUUCUCAACCUUUAUGUUUAUCAGGAAAGUCUCUCACAUUCCUUGGAUCAGUGUUCUUAUACAGUGGAAGGUUUGGACGGGGUCAUUGAUUCUGAAUACUUUGCAAAAGAUAGUGUAACCCUUGUACGAGGGAUCCUAGAGGAUGUUGUAUAUCGCAGAAAAUCCACUACAUUGUCGGCUUUUACAGAAGAAAUGGGAGAUACACAUGCAGCAAUCUCAAUGACCAAGGUUACUCAAGCAGAAGUUUUCCAUACUAAUAAAUGUCAGGAAGCAAAUGAUUACCACUUCGAGCACCUCUUACAAUUGUAGAGGCCAAAGCACCUGUGGCUGAGAGGAGUUUGUAAGUGGUAGAAGAGGUUCCAGAAAGUUCUGACAAAGACGACCUACAGAGCUGUGCAUGAAUCCUCCCCGCUCUCAUUCACUUUGCCAGUUACGAUAAAUCACAUUUAUAUUCUAUUUUCUUCAGUCAUUAAACAAGUGUUUGUGGAG
ensembl:lincRNA